GACGAACGCUGGCGGCGUGCUUAACACAUGCAAGUCGAACGGAAAGGCCCUGCUUUUGUGGGGUGCUCGAGUGGCGAACGGGUGAGUAACACGUGAGUAACCUGCCCUUGACUUUGGGAUAACUUCAGGAAACUGGGGCUAAUACCGGAUAGGAGCUCCUGCUGCAUGGUGGGGGUUGGAAAGUUUCGGCGGUUGGGGAUGGACUCGCGGCUUAUCAGCUUGUUGGUGGGGUAGUGGCUUACCAAGGCUUUGACGGGUAGCCGGCCUGAGAGGGUGACCGGCCACAUUGGGACUGAGAUACGGCCCAGACGCCUACGGGAGGCAGCAGUGGGGAAUAUUGCACAAUGGGCGGAAGCCUGAUGCAGCAACGCCGCGUGCGGGAUGACGGCCUUCGGGUUGUAAACCGCUUUCGCCUGUGACGAAGCGUGAGUGACGGUAAUGGGUAAGAAGCACCGGCUAACUACGUG
rnacentral:rRNA from 1 species